AAUGUCCACAUAAGCAGUAGCUAGUGAAUUUCAGUCAAGGCAAGAGGUACCAGAGAGCAAGCCAAGGUCUUUUGGAUUGAGUUAGGAUGAAAGUCCUGGACAGACCUAUCACAGAGAGAGAAGAAACGCAAUCACAAUGCAGCCACAGGGCGGGCAAGGCCUCGGCAAAAUCAGCGAAGAGCCUUCGACAUCUAGUGAGGAAAGGGCCUCAUUAAUCAAGAAGGAGAUCCAUGGAUCUAUAUCUCACCUUCCUGAACCUUCCAUUCCUUACCGUGGGACCGUCUUCGCCAUGGACCCCAGGAACGGUUACAUGGACCCUCAUUACCAUUCAGCCCCUGCUUUGAAUUCUAUAAAGUACU